rnacentral:rRNA from 1 species
CCUACGGGAGGCAGCCGUGGUGAAUAUUGCGCAAUGGGCGAAAGCCUGACGCAGCGACGCCGCGUGAGGGAUGAAGGUCUUCGGAUCGUCAACCUCUGUCAGUAGGGAAGAACGUCCACUGUCCUAAUCAUCAGUGAAUUGACGGUACCUGCAAAGGAAGCCCCGGCUAACUCCGUGCCAGCAGCCGCGGAAAUACGGAGGGUGCGAGCGUUAAUCGGAAUUACUGGGCGUAAAGCGCUCGUAGGCGGUAUUUCAAGUCAAGUGUGAAAUCCCCUCGCUCAACGUGGGAACUGCAUUUGAAACUGGAAAACUGGAGUGUAGGAGAGGAGAGUGGAAUUCCAGGUGUAGGAGUGAAAUCCGUAGAUAUAUGGAGGAACAUCAGUGGCGAAGGCGACUAUCUGGCACAUAACUGACGCUGAGGAGCGAAAGCGUGGGUAGCAAACAGGAUUAGAUACCCUGGUAGUC